GUGUUGCGGCUGAUGAUGAUGCUGCUGCUGCUGCUGCUGCGGCUGCGGCUGCUUGGGACGUCAGCAACAUGCUGGCUGCUGCUGCUGCGGCUGCUGACUGUUCGACAGAGCUCAAGUGUUGAUGAUGGGAAUUGUUGCCAAGCGUUGUGGCCAGCAGUAAUGGCAUAGUUGUUGUUGUUGCUUGUCUGUUUGCUGCCCCUGUUGCUGCUGCUGCCGUUGCACGCAGUUCGUCAGCAGCAAAUAGCGUCGCUUUGAUUU
rnacentral:sRNA from 1 species